rnacentral:rRNA from 1 species
UCGAGCGAGGGGCUUCGGUCUCUAGCGGCGGACGGGUGAGUAACACGUGGGAACCUGCCUCAUAGAGGGGGAUAGCCUCCCGAAAGGGAGAUUAAUACCGCAUAACAUCAGGAAAUCGCAUGGUUUUCUGAUUAAAGGCGUAAUCGCUAUCGAGAUGGACCCGNUCGCAUUAGCUAGUUGGAGAGGUAACGGCUCACCAAGGCACGAUGCUAGCCGCCUAGAGGCGAUCGCACAUUGGACUGAUACAGCAACUCUCCG